GAUGAAGAACGCAGCGAAAUGCGAUAAGUAAUGUGAAUUGCAGAAUUCAGUGAAUCAUCGAAUCUUUGAACGCACAUUGCGCCCGCCAGUAUUCUGGCGGGCAUGCCUGUUCGAGCGUCAUUUCAACCAUCAAGCCCCAGGCUUGUGUUGGGGACCUGCGGCUGCCGCAGGCCCUGAAAACCAGUGGCGGGCUCGCCGUCACACCGGGCGUAGUAGAUUUUAUCUCGCUCAGGGCGUGCUGCGGGUUCCGGCCGUUAAAAAGCCUUUUUUACCCAAGGUUGACCUCGGAUCAGGUAGGAAGACCCGCUGAACUUAAGCAUAUCAAUAAGCGGAGGA
rnacentral:misc_RNA from 1 species